UUGAAAGAGCACCGAAACUAGUAGUCGUGUUUACCGACUGAAAACCAGAUCUAUAGUCGACGACAAGUUGGGGUCUUUCCAAAGUUCCAUACUUUCUGAAUGUUCAUGUCCAUUUGGGGUCACGGUGUUCAACCUGCAACUCUGGAUCAGGUCGAGAAAUUCGAUGGCAAACUUCCAGUAAUCUGCUGGUUCGAUUGCUUUGAGCAACGCAGGAAGCAAGGAAUUAAUUGCUGCUACAUCAGCUAAUGACUGAAUCCAGCACCGCAUAGAAGAGAUGACGAUCGGCUUGACAAUCAAAAGAGAUCGAUGUAAUGAUUCUUACAGAUCUUGAACAGGUUUGAUGGACUGAUCAGUUGGAUAGAAAGAUGGCCAGCUUUGCUUUGCGAUGCACAUGGGUGAUGACGGGAUUAUUAAUGCUCUCUGCAGACAGCUUUGGUUCAGUACAUGGACUCAGAACGCGUCAGCACACCAUUCACAAGCUUCACGCCGACGACAGUAUGCCGAGAAACCUUGUUGUAACGGUGAGACAUCUGAAAACAUCUCUUUCAACUUCAAUGUCUGAUGCUGCAUAUAUCCAUCCAGUGGACUUAAGUAUCCUCCGAAUGCUAUGUUCCUAGAUUUGAGAUUAUUGUCUUCGGCACUUGCUUUGCUAACCCCGUAAAGAACACCGUCCUGAGGCAGAGUGACAUGGACGGCGUGUCACGAAUUCGCUAUAUAAGGGAAGAAUACAUCUUGUUGUAGGGUGGAGUACUGACCAUUGAGAAUCAAUCCUGAAAUUAGGAAGUGCAAAAAGAUGAAUUUUUGUAAUCAGUUUGACAUUGGUAUUCAUCCAAAUGUAAUUUGGAUAGGACCAAAUCUUUUGAUUGUUUGCACUUCAUUUAAAAGCCUUAUAAAAGAAAGGGAGACCAAGAAUUAGCUUUUUCAUCCUUGGUGAGAAAAGCUCAUUUAUUAUAGUCUUUGAAAAUUAAAUUUU